rnacentral:rRNA from 1 species
CUGCUGCCUUCCGUAGGAGUUUGGGCCGUGUCUCAGUCCCAAUGUGGCCGGUCACCCUCUCAGGUCGGCUACUGAUCGUUGCCUUGGUAGGCCGUUACCCCACCAACCAGCCAAUCAGACGCGGGUCCAUCUCAUACCACCGGAGUUUUUACCACCGGGCCAUGCGGCCCUGUGGUCUUAUGCGGUAUUAGCAGUCAUUUCUAACUGUUAUCCCCCUGUAUGAGGCAGGUUACCCACGCGUUACUCACCCGUCCGCCGCUCAGU